rnacentral:rRNA from 1 species
CCGUGAACCUUUACUAUAGCUUGACACUGAACAUUGAGCCUUGAUGUGUAGGAUAGGUGGGAGGCUUUGAAGUGUGGACGCCAGUCUGCAUGGAGCCGACCUUGAAAUACCACCCUUUAAUGUUUGAUGUUCUAACGUGGACCCGUGAUCCGGGUUGCGGACAGUGUCUGGUGGGUAGUUUGACUGGGGCGGUCUCCUCCUAAAGAGUAACGGAGGAGCACGAAGGUUGGCUAAUCCUGGUCGGACAUCAGGAGGUUAGUGCAAUGGCAUAAGCCAGCUUGACUGCGAGCGUGACGGCGCGAGCAGGUGCGAAAGCAGGUCAUAGUGAUCCGGUGGUUCUGAAUGGAAGGGCCAUCGCUCAACGGAUAAAAGGUACUCCGGGGAUAACAGGCUGAUACCGCCCAAGAGUUCAUAUCGACGGCGGUGUUUGGCACCUCGAUGUCGGCUCAUCACAUCCUGGGGCUGAAGUAGGUCCCAAGGGUAUGGCUGUUCGCCAUUUAAAGUGGUACGCGAGCUGGGUUUAGAACGUCGUGAGACAGUUCGGUCCCUAUCUGCCGUGGGCGCUGGAGAACUGAGGGGGGCUGCUCCUAGUACGAGAGGACCGGAGUGGACGCAUCACUGGUGUUCGGGUUGUCAUGCCAAUGGCACUGCCCGGUAGCUAAAUGCGGAAGAGAUAAGUGCUGAAAGCAUCUAAGCACGAAACUUGCCCCGA